AUGGACAAAGGUGUUCCUAAUCCUGUAUGCGCCGAAGAAGCUCUUGAUCUGCUAAAUUGCGUAGCGGAUUCUCCGUCGUAUGAUCAAGAUAAAUGUCUCGCCCUUUUGAAUUCGUUGCGCGAGUGCGUUCUCGCCAAGAAAGUGAAGAAAUUUUCUCUAGCUGGCCAGGAACAACAAGAAACUAAUCCAAGUAGCAAGAAGGCUUAA